ACAUGUCAAGAGCCGCGUGACUGAGUAAGUUUUAUAAGUUUUCAGUGGUUUAGUCCUAAUAUUUUGAAAUUUAUUGCAACAGAAGCUCUAUUUUCACUGUUAUCUUAUGAGUUGGAAACUAUGCUCGAAGACUUGACCUUGUGAGAAGAGGAAGCAUUUAAUUGCAUUUUUCAAUUUUUUGUGCUGUUCUUACAAAUUGGUUCUCUAUUGCUGAUGCAUGGAAAAAGGUAAAUGUUUUAACUUUUUGAAUCUUAGAUUCCAUGCUUAUUUAGUGCAUAGGUAUAUUAAAUUCUAGACAUAUUCAUUGUUUUAAUGCAUAACUAUUACAGUAAAAUUUGAAUAGGAUUCAUACCAUGUGAUGGGAAGAAGGAUAUUUGGGCACUUUGUGCA
rnacentral:misc_RNA from 1 species